GAUGAUUUUGGAUCCGACUGAGUGGCGAACUGGUGAGUAACACGUGGGUAACCUGCCCAGAAGAAGGGGAUAACACCUGGAAACAGAUGCUAAUACCGUAUAACAACAAGAACCACAUGGUUCUUGUUUGAAAGCUGGCCUUUGUGCUAGUGCUUCUGGAUGGACCCGCGGCGUAUUAGCUAGUUGGUGAGAUAAUAGCUCACCAAGGCAAUGAUACGUAGCAGACCUGAGAGGGUAAUCUGCCACAAUGGGACUGAGACACGGCCCAUACUCCUACGGGAGGCAGCAGUAGGGAAUCUUCCACAAUGGACGAAAGUCUGAUGGAGCAACGCCGCGUGAGUGAAGAAGGGUUUCGGCUCGUAAAACUCUGUUGUUAGAGAAGAACAGCCGUGAGAGCAACUGCUCACGGUAUGACGGUAUCUAACCAGAAAGUCACGGCUAACUACGUGCCAGCAGCCGCGGUAAUACGUAGGUGGCAAACGUUGUCCGGAUUUAUUGGGCGUAAAGGGAGCGCAGGCGGUUUAUUAAGUCUGAUGUGAAAGCCUUCGGCUUAACCGGAGAAGUGCAUCGGAAACUGAUAAACUUGAGUGCAGAAAAGGAUAGUGGAACUUCAUGUGUAGCGGUGAAAUGCGUAGAUAUAUGAAGGAACACCAGUGGCGAAGGCGGCUAUCUGGUCUGUAACUGACGCUGAGGCUCGAAAGCAUGGGUAGCAAACAGGAUUAGAUACCCUGGUAGUCCAUGCCGUAACGAUGAAUGCUAGGUGUUGGAAGGUUUCCGCCUUUCAGUGCCGCAGCUAACGCAUUAAGCAUUCCGCCUGGGGAGUACGACCGCAAGGUUGAAACUCAAA
rnacentral:rRNA from 2 species